rnacentral:rRNA from 1 species
UACGUAGGGUGCAAGCGUUAAUCGGAAUUACUGGGCGUAAAGCGUGCGCAGGCGGUUUUGUAAGCCAGAUGUGAAAUCCCCGGGCUUAACCUGGGAAUGGCAUUUGGGACUGCAAGGCUAGAGUGUGUCAGAGGGGGGUAGAAUUCCACGUGUAGCAGUGAAAUGCGUAGAUAUGUGGAGGAAUACCGAUGGCGAAGGCAGCCCCCUGGGAUAACACUGACGCUCAUGCACGAAAGCGUGGGGAGCAAACAGG